rnacentral:lncRNA from 1 species
GUCCUGAAGAGAGGCCUUGUCCGGGAUCAGCAUGUGGGUGCCUCUGGACUGUGAAAUAGCCAGAGCUGGGAAGCCUUUUAGAGCUGCUGUAGUGGUCCAGGAAGGAGGUGGGGAGGGUCUGGGUGAGGGCAGGCCACUAGAUGGAGAAAAUGAAUUUAUGAGAUGGGAUUUAGGAACUGCCUAGAUAAUAGGGGUUGGCUGAUGGGAAGCAAAAUGCCCCAGAGCUUUGAACUCAGGUGCCAUUCAUUAUUUCUAUGCCAUCUGCCAGGCAUUACAUAGCUAUUAUCUCAUUUAAUCUUCUCCUAAUCUUGUGGGUUCAUAUUUUCAUCCUUAGAGACGAGAAAACUAAGGCUCAGAGAAAGUUAGCAACUGCUCUAAAAUUGUACGGUUAACACGAUCUAGAACAGGGACUUCGGUACAGGCCUCCCUGACCCCCAAGCCUGUGUUCUUUCUACUGUACUAGGCCUCGAAGACAGCGGACGUGAGAGUGAAGACAGUCUCUGUCCACUCUGGCAUAUUCAGCGUAGGUGCUGGUGAGAUUCCCACCUUUAGGUGUCCAUCAAGUGGCUGGAGACAUGGAGCCGAAUCUCGAGGACAUUGGGAGGAUUGAAGGUCUGCAUCCUCAUUUAUUUAUUUAGUAGUUACUUGUUGUGUCUUCAUAGACCAGCUUGGCAGCACGAAUGCUGAGGUCAACAAGAGAGGUGCGUCCUUCAUGGAGCUGCCAGGCUGGGAGGGAGCCCUGAUGGUGUGGCUUGAGUGUAAGGCAGGAGGUGUGCAGAUUGGCCAUAGGAACUUACUGGCCUAACCUUGUCAGGUCAGGGAAGCUCUCUAGAGGCAGAUGUGGUUCUCAACAUGAUACUCAAAUGAUGAGGACCCAGAUAAAAAGUGGGAAAACGGCACAUCCCAGGCCAUGGAAGUAGCGCGUACUCAGGCAGAGCAAGAGAGGAACACAAUGUCUUUAAAUCAAAAACCACAUGUGGCUGGAAUGGAGGGAACAGCGAGGAGAUUAGGCUAGAGAGGUGAGCAGGAACCAGAAUAAGAAAUGCCUUGGAAGCUGUGAGAGGCUUGGAAUUCACCUGUGAAGAAGAGAGUAGCCUCAUCUGAAUUCCUUGCCUCGAUCAUGGUCUCCAACAGAAGGUUAAAUGGCUAUGGAGUCUAGAGGUUUUUUCCUUCGGUGUGGGCAUCACCUCUUCUGAAAGGAUGGUGUAAUGGCUAAUUGUAUGUAUCAGUUUGGCAAGGCCACAGUACCCAGAUACUUGGUCAAGCACCAGGCUAGAUGUCGCUGUGCAGGUAUUUUUUUUAGAUUGAGGUUUAACAUUUAUAUCAGUAGACUGAGUGAAGCAGAUUAUCCUUUGUAAUGUAUGUAGGCUUCAUAUAUCAUCAGUUGAAGGCCUUAAGAGAAAAAGACUGAAGUCCCUAAAGAAGGAACUCUGUCUCCAGACUCCCUUCAGACUCAAGACUGCAACAUCAGCCUGGCGCGGUGGCUCACACCUAUAAUCCCAGCACUUUUGGAGGCUGAGACGGGUGGAUCACUUGAGAUCAGGAGUUCAAGGCCAGCCUGGCCAACAUGGCAAAAACCCAUCUCUAUUAAAAACACAAAAAUUAGCUGGGCGUGGUGGUAGGCACCUGUAGUCCCAGCUACUUGGGAGGCUGCGGCAUGAGAAUCACUUGAACCCAGGAGGCAGAGGUUGCAGUGAGCUGAGAUGGUGCAACUGCACUCUAGCCUGGACAACAGAGGGAGACUCUGUCUCAAAAAACAAAAAAAAAAGACUGCAACAUCAACUCUUCCCUUGGUCACCGGCAUGCCCUGAAGAUUGUGGAUUUGUCAGUCCCUAUAAUUGCAUGAGCUAGUUCCUUAAGGUAAAUAUCAGUAUCUACCCCUACCCCCACCACUCACUCUCUCAAUCUCAACCUCUCUCUCAAUCUCCGUUUACCUCUCCCUCUCCCCCUAUUGGUUCUGUUUCUCUGGAGAACCCUGACUAAUGCAGAUAGGAAGAUAAAGAAAUUUAAACUGUUCGACUCCCGUUGAUAUUAGCAGAAAGCUGCAUCAGGCUUCUCUAGGUGUUCUUGGUGUAUGUGUAUAUUGCUUUUUGUAUAGAUGAGAAUAGUGAAGUACAGAAGGGAUGUGAUGUACCCACAGUCAUGCAGAAGGCUGAUGGGAGAGCCAAGGAGAAAACUCAGGUUUCAAACCUCUGGUGUAGUUCAGGUGCUUUCUUGCUAUUUGGCCCUCAUGUUUUUAUUAGCAAGGUAAUGAAGUUACUGAGUUUGCCGUGCGUAAUUAUUGGUAAUGUUUAUGGAAUGUUCUCUGUAUGUCAGGCACUGUUUUAGUUGCCCUACAGGUGUUAAUGAUUUUAAUCCUUACAGCUACCUAAUGAGAUAGGGAAUAAUAGUAUCCCAUUUUACAGAUUUUAAGCAAUGAGUCCUGAGUGACAGAGCAGGACUGAAGACUCAGGCAGCCUGUCUGCAGAGGUUGUGCUGUUGACCACUCCACCACUUCUCAGCUUAAUGCCCUGGGCACAGCUUUUCAUCUCUCCCUUUGGAACCAAUGUCCAGAAUAUUUAUGAUGGUAGUGCGCUCUUGGUAGGGCUUGUGUUGAAAGAGAAAAUGCUUACAAGUUAUUUUUCAAGAGGCCCUUCGAUAAUGCUUCUUAGCGCCUUGAAAAACAGAAAGCAUUCCCAUUACAGCAACAUUGUAGACCUCCUGCUGGAGUAUAUUUUUAGCAACUAGACUUUGCUGUCUAGCCUAGUGACAUUGGUGGGCAUCUGAUUUGCCCAGGGUGAUACAGGAGUGUGAUAAAGUGGUGAUAUGAGUUGGCUCCUGAUUCAGCAUUUUGGGGUGUGUUCUGGGGGAGAACAUAGCAAACCUCUUUGUGUGUGUCCCUUGGUUCUUUGAGAGAACAGUCAUCAUAACUCCCAUUUAUUAGGUCUGUUGUGUGCUAGAUGCUGUUUUAAGUGCUUUAUAAACAUUGUCUCAUGGAAUCUUCUCAACAGCCCUGAAGGCUGGCAUUACCAUCCCAUUUUACAUAUAAAGUAAGCAGUGAUUAAGGAGUUAAGUCACAUUUCCAAAGCAAGUAGCAGAACCAAGGAUUAAACUGCAUCUGAAUGACUCCAAGCCAGUGCUCUUGGUCACUUGGCUGUGUCUAUACUGGGUAUCUAUACUGGAGCUCACCAUUCUUCCCCGUAGACUAUGAACUCUGUGAGGGCCUUUAUUGAUUCUCCACCAUACUUCGCACCUGCCAAGUACACUACCUGACACAUAGUAGGUGCUUAAUGCAUAUACUGUCAUGUGUCACUUAACAGUGUGGAUAGGCAGUUUUGUCAUUGUGUGAACAUCAUAGAGUGUAUAUCCAUAAACCUAGACGGUAUAGCCUACGACAUCCCUAGGCGAUAUGAUAUGGCCCUGCUGCUCCUAGGCCACAAACCUGUACAGCCUACACUACAGCUGUACUGAAUACAUUGUAACACAGUGGUAAGUGCUUAUAUAUCUAAGCAUACAUAAAUAUAGAAAAAGCAAAGCCGUGCAGUGUGUUACAAUGGCUACAGUGUCACUAGGCAAUAGGAAUUUUCAGCUCCACGUAAUCUUACCGGCCCGCCAUCAUGGAUGUGGUACACCAUUAACUGAAAUGUUAUGCUGCACAUGACUGUGUACAGAGCGACUAACAGACCCAUUGUGUUCUCUGUGAUCGCUUCUGAAUGACUACAGGACCAGGGCCAAAGAGCACAGACCUGUGAGUGCGUUAUGGACUUAUGUGGGUUUAGCCCUCACGAUAGAUAUGAGCAUAUCGUAAUGAGUAUAUCUAGUGUGUGAAUGUAUAUCAUAACUUAUCCACUUUAUGGACAUCAUAGUUUAUCCAUUUUAGUGAUUCCAGGACAUUGUAUCUGUCUGUGCUUUUUUGUUGUUGUUGUUGUUGAAAUGGAGUCUCACUCUGUCACCCAGGCUGGAGUGCAAAUGGCACAAUCUUGGCUCACUGCAGCCUCUGCCUCCCCAGUUCAAGCCAUUCUCCUGCCUCAGCCUCCUGAGUAGCUAGGACUACAGGCACACGCUACCACACCUGGCUAAUCUUUGUAUUUUUAGUAGAGAUGGGGUUUCACCAUGUUGGCUGGUCUCGAACUCCUAACCUCAAGUGAUCUGCCUGCCUCAGCCAAAGUGCUGAGAUUACAGGCAUGAGCCACCACGUCUGCCCUCUAGCUAUGCUUUAAGACAGGUCUCUCAGCCCGGACUGGAGUCGUGUAAUACACGGCUUUGUCAGUAGCUCUCCUUCCCGCAAAGAAGUCUUGAUAAUCUUAUACUCAUCCCUGCCGUUAGGAUUCAGGACCAAUCUUUUAUAGCCUGUACACCACACUGGUCUAGGACAGCACCUAAGUAAUACUCAUGCUAUAAAAUAUUCAUCAAGUUAUAUAUUUUUUAAAACAUCCCAAAAAUUAUCUUUUUCCUGUACUGAGAAGAAUUUCAGGCUCCCCUCUCUCUCACUGCCUCUCUUCACACACACCUACCUUAGUCUGUCACCUAUUUCGUAAACAUAUCUUCUUUAAAAAAAGAAAGAAAAGGCAGUACAUGCUUUGUAAACUGAAACUAGAUAAUUUAUAUUUGUAGCAUUUUUUUCUCCUUGAGGUUAAUUUCCUUUGCUUCCCAUAACUGGAAACUAAUGAUUCACUGCCAUUAUAUAAGCUUAUUUUUCCUCUUGGAAAUAGUAAAUUAUAAGAGGUUUGACCAAAAAAUACACAUCAAAAUUAGGCAGUAUUCGGUGUUUAGCCUCCAUCUGCCUUGUCUUCUUGUCUUUAGUUGUGCAAGUAGAUGCUGAUGAUUUCUGGCAGAGCUCAAGUAAAUCAUGUGAAUUUACUUUUUUUCCUCAUAAAACAGAUGGCAUGGUCUAGCUCUGGGCUUGUAUGUUUCAUGAAGUACAUGGGUCUGAGUGCAUAUUUAUUUUGUGAGCCAAGGUUUAUGCCUUCUUUUAUAAUUUUCUUUCACCGAAAAUUACCCGGAGAGCUAGAAACUCCGUUUUUGUCAGUGUAAGAAGCUUUAGAAUCCAUAUCCAGACUAAGGCCACGGAACAAUGUAGAUUCACUCAGUGAAAACUCACUAGCGGCCUUCUUUGUACUAGACUGUCACCUUUGCUUGGCUUUGAGAAGCUUCAAACUAGGGCAGUUUAUGUUUGGGAAUGGCCAGUCAAAAUAGCAAGACAGACAUAGGCAAGGAUGUAAUUUUUUUAAAAUUUAAGAGGGGAAUGGUGGAGCAUGAAUCAAAACAGAAGGUACUCUUACCUUCUUGGAACUAUAAAAUAAAUACAUUUGAAAAAGGCACCCUCUCAACCUUCCGAGAGUCAGAAUUUUUGCUGCCACCCCUCAUUUUGAAUCUAUUCUGAAUUUUUUAUUCUUUUUUUAGUAAGGAAGAAAAAUUUCUCCUGAAGAAUUCAUUGGAAAUUAAAAUUGACUUGCGUAUUUUGUAUUCUUUGGAAUGUGAUGAAGACUGAUUUGAAAGGGCAGUGCUGGAUUUGGUCAGGCAAAGGGAAAGGAAGACGGUUACAUGCAGUCAUCCUGCCUAGCUCAUCCCCGCCACGAUGGAGAAGUGGGGUUGCUUUCGUUGUACUUUUUUCAUUUCUUUUCUUGCCAAGCCCAGUGGCUUCUGUUAUAACAUGUGGCAACUUCUCCCUUGGAGACUGACUCAGUCCAAGUUACCAUAAUAUUUAGGACCAGCUACAAAGACAUUUCUUCCCCUAAACCUGUGCCAAAUCUAAAUCAAACUAUCUUCUCCUCCUUAGCCAUUCAAAUAGCUCCAGCUCUUAUAUAAAAAUACGAGAAAUACAUAGGCCUCUUUUUGUUUUACUCCUGUUCAAACAGAUAAACAAGGCACAUCAUGCCUAGUGUUGCUUUGAGCUCAAUCACUUCCUCCUAAAACAGUCUUAUACUAUGUUGAUUUUAAGAAUUGCAACUUAGGUGUUCAGGAAGGAAGCAGACAUAUUCUGAGAGCACAGUCAUUGUCUAUGGUCUCAGAAUAUGUUUGCUUCCUUCUAGAACAUCUGAGUUCUAGAAACUGCGUACAAUAAACUGCUGUCAAUGCUGCUGGAGGAAGGAAGAGUAAUUCUGACAUCACUGGCCUUCAACAGGUGUGGCUCUGAGCUUCUGGGCCUCAGAAGCCCUGACCUCUAGAGGCUGGGGGUCAGCAGGGCAGGGAGGUGAUCUCGUCGUGGAUGACCACAGGUCAUCCACCUGCCAAACAGUUAACCCUGAACAAGUCACCUCAAUUUAUUUUGCUUUUAAAAAAGAAAGUCAGCAAAAUAGAAAAAAAAAAAAAAA